rnacentral:lncRNA from 1 species
GUGGGUCAAUGGGUUAGAUGGAUUAGGUCCAUAAUUGGGUUAGACCUAAGGUUAGCUUAAAGAAAUGAAUUAAAUUAGAGUAAUUGGUCAAAUCUAAUCAAAAGUUGAAUUAGAUUAGGUCAAGGACACUCUAGACUCAACUCCAAUAGUUGUAGUUGAUUGGGUCCAUGUCUUUAACUAGACCAAGAUGGACUUAAUUCAUGGCUACAUGGUGGAACCCUAUUUACU